GAGGUAUAGAGUCUAGGGUUUCAACUCUAGAUUUUGUGAGAAAAAAAAUACAAAAGUGAGUCUUGUUCAAUCUCCCACACCAUCACCUCCUUAUAAAGCUUCAUCUUCUGAUUUGAAAGAGUCCGAGAGAUUCGAAGAAAAGAGCUUAGAUCAGCCAUCUAGAGCUUUCAAUGCGAGCUAGCACUCCCGUGAAGGAAGAUCCGAUCAGGACUUCGAGUGGAUGAUCUGUAGAGGCUGAAUGAUCUGUGCGGCUUC
rnacentral:lncRNA from 1 species